GACGGAGGGUGCUAGCGUUGUUCGGAAUCACUGGGCGUAAAGGGCGCGUAGGCGGCCAGGCAAGUCGGCUUGUGAAAGCCCGGGGCUCAACCCCGGAGGUGCGGCCGGGACUGCUUGGCUGGAGGCCGGAAGAGGAAGGUGGAAUACCCAGUGUAGAGGUGAAAUUCGUAGAUAUUGGGUGGAACACCGGUGGCGAAAGCGGCUCUCUGGUCCGGCCCUGACGCUGAGGCGCGAAAGCGUGGGGAGCAAACAGG
rnacentral:rRNA from 1 species